AGUUAUAAUUGUGUUUAAACUGUUUAAUGGUGUCCUUGUUAUUUGUUCUUAGAGACAUUUUAAAUCCAAAGGAUGUGAUCAGUGUCCAGCUGGAAGACACUACCUCUUGCAAAACUUUUUGCAGCCUAUCUUGUCUUUCAUCAUAUGAAGAAAAAAGAAAACCAUUUGUUACCAUAUGUACUAAUAGCAUUUUGACCAAGUGCAGCAUGUGCCAGAAGACUGCUAUUAUUCAGUAUGAAGUAAAAUACCAAAAUGUGAAACAUAAUCUUUGCAGUAAUGCCUGCCUUUCAAAGUUUCACUCUGCUAACAACUUCAUCAUGAACUGCUGUGAGAACUGUGGCACUUACUGUUACACCAGCUCUAGUCUGUCCCACAUACUUCAGACGGAAGGACAGUCUCAUUACUUUAAUAGUUCAAAGAGUAUUACAGCAUAUAAGCAGAAACCUGCCAAACCACUUAUAUCUGUUCCUUGCAAACCAUUGAAGCCCUCAGAUGAAAUGAUUGAGACUACCAGUGAUUUGGGGAAGACAGAGCUUUUCUGCUCUAUUAAUUGUUUCUCUGCAUACAGUAAAGCUAAGAUGGAAUCUUCUUCAGUAAAUG
rnacentral:sRNA from 1 species